rnacentral:rRNA from 1 species
AGCAGCCGCGGUAAUUCCAGCUCCAAUAGCGUAUAUUAAAGUUGUUGCAGUUAAAAAGCUCGUAGUUGAAUUUCGGGGUCAGUAGGUUGGUCGUGCCACUGGUAUGCACUGGUCUCACUGAUUCCUCCUUCCUGAUGAACCGUAAUGCCAUUAAUUUGGUGUUGCGGGGAAUCUGGACUGUUACUUUGAAAAAAUUAGAGUGUUUAAAGCAGGCUAACGCUUGAAUACAUUAGCAUGGAAUAACGAAAUAGGACGAUCGAUCCUAUUUUGUUGGUUUCUAGGAUUGACGUAAUGAUUAAUAGGGAUAGUUGGGGGCAUUAGUAUUCAAUUGUCAGAGGUGAAAUUCUUGGAUUUUAUUGAAGACUAACUACUGCGAAAGCAUUUGCCAAGGAUGUUUUCAUUAAUCAAGAACGAAAGUUAGGGGAUCGAAGACGAUCAGAUACCGUCGUAGUCUUAACCAUAAACUAUGCCGACUAGGGAUCGGAUGAUGUUAAUUUUUUUAAUGACUCAUUCGGCGUAC